GACGAACGCUGGCGGCGUGCUUAACACAUGCAAGUCGAACGGAAAGACCCUGCUUGCGGGGUACUCGAGUGGCGAACGGGUGAGUAACACGUGGGUGAUCUGCCCUGCACUUCGGGAUAAGCCUGGGAAACUGGGCCUAAUACCUGACAGGUGCCAUUUUUAGCGUGAUGGUUGGAAAGUUUUGUCGGUGUUGGAUGAGCUCGCUGCCUAUCAGCUUGUUGGUGGGGUGAUGGCCUACCAAGGCGGCGACGGGUAGCCGGCCUGAGAGGGUGGACGGCCACCCUGGGACCGAGAGGCGGCACUGGCAGCGACGGGUGGGAGAAGGGGGGAAGAUUGCACGAGGGGCGCCAGCCGGAUGAAGCGGCGCUGCGUAGGGGAAGACGGCCUUAUGGUUGAAAACCACUUUCGCUAGGGACGAAGCUUUUUGUGACGGUACCUAGAUAAGAAGCACCGGCUAACUACGUG
rnacentral:rRNA from 1 species